UACGGAGGGUGCGAGCGUUGUCCGGAAUCAUUGGGCGUAAAGGGCGCGUAGGUGGCCCGGUCAGUCUUUGGUGAAAGCGCGGGGCUCAACCCUGCGUCGGCCAGGGAUACUGCCGCGGCUCGAGCACUGUAGAGGCAGGCGGAAUUCCGGGUGUAGCGGUGGAAUGCGUAGAGAUCCGGAAGAACACCGGUGGCGAAGGCGGCAUCCUGGACCGAUACUGACGCUGAGGAGCGAAAGCCAGGGGAGCAAAGCGGG
rnacentral:rRNA from 1 species